rnacentral:rRNA from 1 species
UACGGAGGGAGCAAGCGUUACUCGGAAUUAUUGGGCGUAAAGGGCGCGUAGGCGAUUUGAAAAGUCUUGUGUGAAAGCCCCGGGCUUAACCCGGGAAGUGCACAAGAAACUGUUGAAUUUGAGUUCCGGAGAGGAAGGCAGAAUUCCCGGUGUAGCGGUGAAAUGCGUAGAUACCGGGAGGAAUACCAGUGGCGAAGGCGGCCUUCUGGACGGAUACUGACGCUGAGGCGCGAAAGCCAGGGGAGCAAACGGG